rnacentral:lncRNA from 1 species
UGAGGAUCGCAGCACCAGACAAGUUGAGAACCAGUGCUUUAGAAACUCCACACAGUUAAGCAGUGUGUCUGCUUACUGUCUGUUAUAUAACUUUAGACCCAAGGACAAUGCUUGACAGAGUCAGUAUUCAAAAAUCUGUCCAAGGUGCCUUUGUUUGGUGCUCUCUGACGAGGAGUGUUUGAGCAAUAUAUGCACAAGGUUGCCCUUUGGAGAUCUCAUCCAGGUUCAUCGUGAAGAUUUGAGGUUUCUUCUAACAGCCGCCAAAACUUGAAUUGGAGAUGCUAGAGAGGAAGAUGUAGAAAAUGGG